GAUGAACGCUGGCGGCGUGCCUAAUACAUGCGAGUCAAGCGAACAGACGAGGAGCUUGCUCCUCUGACGUUAGCGGCGGACGGGUGAGUAACACGUGGAUAACCUACCUAUAAGACUGGGAUAACUUCGGGAAACCGGAGCUAAUACCGGAUAAUAUAUUGAACCGCAUGGUUCAAUAGUGAAAGACGGUUUUGCUGUCACUUAUAGAUGGAUCCGCGCCGCAUUAGCUAGUUGGUAAGGUAACGGCUUACCAAGGCAACGAUGCGUAGCCGACCUGAGAGGGUGAUCGGCCACACUGGAACUGAGACACGGUCCAGACUCCUACGGGAGGCAGCAGUAGGGAAUCUUCCGCAAUGGGCGAAAGCCUGACGGAGCAACGCCGCGUGAGUGAUGAAGGUCUUCGGAUCGUAAAACUCUGUUAUUAGGGAAGAACAAAUGUGUAAGUAACUAUGCACGUCUUGACGGUACCUAAUCAGAAAGCCACGGCUAACUACGUG
rnacentral:rRNA from 1 species